rnacentral:misc_RNA from 1 species
AUCUCUAAUUUUCUCUCUCUCACAAGUGAGUGUGUGAUUUCUUUAAGCGUCACGCUGUGUCAGAUAGUAUCAGAGCGGAAAAAAUAACCCCAAUCAAGAUGGCAAACCGUGGUAGAGGUGGUGAUGACAAUAGUUCUCACAACGGUGAUCGGGGAGCUAGAGCCCAUGAACAAAGGGACGACAUGUUGCAAUAUUUGGAACAACAUCUAGAGCAAAGGGUGGACCACAGAUUCAAAUGUAUAGAAAGACGCCUUGAAGAAAUUGCUGGCCAUCUUGGUGCUUUAGAAACCAAUGCAAAUAGGGAUCGAAUGGUAAAUAGAAGGCCAAGUGAUGGUGCAGCUCGUGGUGACCUUAUUUACCAACCAAUUUCUGCUCGUAGAUA